AUUGAACGCUGGCGGCAUGCCUUACACAUGCAAGUCGAACGGCAGCACGGACUUCGGUCUGGUGGCGAGUGGCGAACGGGUGAGUAAUGUAUCGGAACGUACCUUUCAGUGGGGGAUAACGUAGCGAAAGUUACGCUAAUACCGCAUAUUCUGUGAGCAGGAAAGCAGGGGAUCGCAAGACCUUGCGCUGAUUGAGCGGCCGAUAUCAGAUUAGCUAGUUGGUGAGGUAAAGGCUCACCAAGGCGACGAUCUGUAGCGGGUCUGAGAGGAUGAUCCGCCACACUGGAACUGAGACACGGUCCAGACUCCUACGGGAGGCAGCAGUGGGGAAUUUUGGGACAAUGGGGGGCAACCCUGAUCCAGCCAUGCCGCGUGAGUGAAGAAGGCCU
rnacentral:rRNA from 1 species